CUUCACCGAGCCGAGGAACAGCGGGCGUUCGAGGUCCCGGUCCUGCCCGUAGGUGGCCAGCAGCGCCUGGGCCUC
rnacentral:antisense_RNA from 1 species